UUUUUUUUUACCCCAUCCUCUCCCUAACCUCCGGUACCCCCGGCCUUCUCACCAUCCUUUCCCAAAUCGCCGAGACACCUCACACGUCGCCGGCGCCCCUCCAGCACGGACGACGCCCCUCCUUGCCUGCGGCCGGCGUGCCACCUCCCCUUCUCCCCAAAGGCCAGUGCGCCUUCUUCCGCUCGACAGGGGCACCUCCUCCGCCAUGGCCGGCGAGCCUCCCCCGCCGCCACCCUGGGAUCCAGCCACCGCAGGGCCCCGGAACCCCGUGUAAUGUUCGCCGGGCCCUGGAUCCCCGUGCGCCGCCGCAAGGCCCUGGAUCCCGAGCGUCGCCGCCGCCGGGGUCCUUUCUCGUCUGCUCCAUCACCGCUGGGACCUCGGGCCCCUUGUGCGCCGCCGGGACCCCCACAUGCUGCAGCAGACCGUGCCACCCCAUCACCCGCGCUUCACCUCUUCCCCGAGCUUUCCCGAGUGGCCCUGCCCCUGAGCCACACCUCGCGACUGCGGGGCUCAUGCCACAUCACCUCCCCCAAGUUCGUGCGCCACUACCAAGAAAAGGAAGAGGAGUAAUGACUGACCGGUGGCGAUGCAAUGCGGCGAGCAGAACAAUGUGAUGUAGGGAUGCAUGGGACAGGUUAGUUGGAGCCUGCAGCCUGCAGGCAUGGGUGUCGAGCUGCUAAUACAUUUGGGUGGCUCGUAAUGUACUUGGUCGAAUGUUACUACUGCUACAAACAUGUGUAUUAUUUUUGGUAUCUCGCUUUUACAUUUUUAUGCUAAAAUUUCUACCCGCUUCUUCUGACUGCUCCUACUGGAGAGCUAGUACAGCUUGAACCCAAUACUCAACCUGAACCUGAACUUCUCUAGCUCAGGCUGCUGCAUCCACUUGCUAGCUUCAUAUGCAUAAGUAGAGACUAGCUACACGGAGAAGAAAAGACGAGGAAUAAAUCGUGUGGUGGUGGUUACUUCUAGGAGAUAAGACAGAGAGAUAAAGGCCAAAAUGUGUGGUGUAAAAACAUGCACAACUUCUGUAUAAAAAAAUACAAUUUGUUUGGAAAGUGUAUACAUUGUACUCUAUGGUUUGUCGUUU